rnacentral:rRNA from 1 species
GACGAACGCUGGCGGCGUGCUUAACACAUGCAAGUCGAACGGAAAGGCCCCUUUGGGGGUCCUCGAGUGGCGAACGGGUGAGUAACACGUGAGUAACCUGCCCUUGACUUCGGGAUAACUUCAGGAAACUGGGGCUAAUACCGGAUAGGAAUCCUUGCUGCAUGGUGGGGGUUGGAAAGCUUCGGCGGUUUUGGAUGGACUCGCGGCUUAUCAGCUUGUUGGUGGGGUAGUGGCUUACCAAGGCUUUGACGGGUAGCCGGCCUGAGAGGGCGACCGGCCACAUUGGGACUGAGAGACGGCCCAGACGCCUACGGGAGGCAGCAGUGGGGAAUAUUGCACAAGGGGCGGAAGCCGGAUGCAGCAACGCCGCGGGCGGGAGGACGGCCUUCGGGUUGGAAACCGCUUUCAGCAGGGGCGAAGCUUGUGGUGACGGUACCUGCAGAAGAAGCACCGGCUAACUACGUG